rnacentral:rRNA from 1 species
UGGGGAAUCUUCCGCAAUGGACGAAAGUCUGACGGAGCAACGCCGCGUGAGUGAUGACGGCCUUCGGGUUGUAAAGCUCUGUUAAUCGGGACGAAUGGUUCUUGUGCAAAUAGUGCGAGGAUUUGACGGUACCGGAAUAGAAAGCCACGGCUAACUACGUGCCAGCAGCCGAGGUAAUACGUAGGUGGCAAGCGUUGUCCGGAAUUAUUGGGCGUAAAGCGCGCGCAGGCGGAUUGGUCAGUCUGUCUUAAAAGUUCGGGGCUUAACCCCGUGAUGGGAUGGAAACUGCCAAUCUAGAGUAUCGGAGAGGAAAGUGGAAUUCCUAGUGUAGCGGUGAAAUGCGUAGAUAUUAGGAAGAACACCAGUGGCGAAGGCGACUUUCUGGACGAAAACUGACGCUGAGGCGCGAAAGCCAGGGGAGCGAACGGG